GACGAACGCUGGCGGCGUGCUUAACACAUGCAAGUCGAACGGAAAGGCCCCUUUGGGGGUACUCGAGUGGCGAACGGGUGAGUAACACGUGAGUAACCUGCCCUUGACUUCGGGAUAACUUCAGGAAACUGGGGCUAAUACUGGAUAGGAAUCCUUUCUGCAUGGUGGGGGUUGGAAAGCUUCGGCGGUUUUGGCUGGACUCGCGGCGUAUCAGCUUGUUGGUGGGGUAGUGGCUUACCAAGGCUUUGGCGGGUAGCCGGCCUGAGUGGGCGACCGGCCACAUUGGGACUGAGAGACGGCCCAGACUCCGACGGGAGGGAGGAGGGGGGAAUAUUGCACAAUGGGCGGAAGGCUGGUGCCGGAACGCCGCGUGCGGGAUGACGGCCUUCGGGUUGUAAACCGCUUUCAGCAGGGGCGAAGCUUGUGGUGACGGUACCUGCAGAAGAAGCACCGGCUAACUACGUG
rnacentral:rRNA from 1 species